UAAUACGGAGGGCGCAAGCGUUGUUCGGAAUCACUGGGCAUAAAGAGCACGUAGGCUGUUCAAUCAGUCGGAUGUGAAAGCCCUCGGCUCAACCGGGGAACUGCAUUCGAUACUAUUGAGCUAGAGGACAGGAGGGGUGAGUGGAACUCCAGGUGGAACGGUGAAAUGUGUAGAUAUCUGGAGGAACACCGGUGGCGAAAGCGGCUCACUGGCCUGUCUCUGACGCUGAGGUGCGAAAGCUAGGGUAGCGAACGGGAUUAGAUACCCCGGUAGUCCUAGCCGUAAACGAUGGGCACUAGGCAAUGGGUUUCCCUAUGGAGUUCAUUGCCGUAGCAAAUGUGUUAAGUGCCCCGCCUGGGGAGUACGCUCGCAAGGGUA
rnacentral:rRNA from 1 species